GACGAACGCUAGCGGCAGGCCUAAUACAUGCAAGUCGAACGGUAAGGCUUCUUCGGAAGUACACGAGUGGCGCACGGGUGCGUAACACGUAUGCAACCUACCUUCCAGCGGAGAAUAGUCAUUGGAAACGAUGAAUAAUACUCCAUAUGCUCACGGUUUCACAUGGGACAGUGAGGAAAGCUCCGGCGCUGGGAGAUGGGCAUGCGCCCCAUUAGCUAGUUGGUAAAGUAACGGUUUACCAAGGCAACGAUGGGUAACUGGUCUGAGAGGAUGAUCAGUCACACGGGCACUGAGACACGGGCCCGACUCCUACGGGAGGCAGCAGUAAGGAAUAUUGGUCAAUGGGGGCAACCCUGAACCAGCCAUGCCGCGUGCAGGACGACGGCCCUCUGGGUUGUAAACUGCUUUUAUCUGGGAAUAAUCAUUUGCUAUACGCAGAUUUGUAGGUACCAGAAGAAUAAGCACCGGCUAACUACG
rnacentral:rRNA from 1 species